UGACUGGGGCGGUCGCCUCCCAAAGAGUAACGGAGGCGCGCGAAGGUUGGCUCAGAGCGGUCGGAAAUCGCUCGUUGAGUGCAAUGGCAUAAGCCAGCCUGACUGUGAGACUGACAGGUCGAACAGAGUCGAAAGACGGCCAUAGUGAUCCGGUGGUCCCGCGUGGAAGGGCCAUCGCUCAACGGAUAAAAGGUACGCCGGGGAUAACAGGCUGAUGAUGCCCAAGAGUCCAUAUCGACGGCAUUGUUUGGCACCUCGAUGUCGGCUC
rnacentral:rRNA from 12 species